UACGUAGGGGGCAAGCGUUGUCCGGAUUUACUGGGCGUAAAGAGCGUGUAGGCGGCCAAGCAGGUCCGUUGUGAAAACUGGAGGCUUAACCUCCAGACGUCGACGGAAACCGCGUGGCUAGAGUCCGGAAGAGGAGAGUGGAAUUCCUGGUGUAGCGGUGAAAUGCGCAGAUAUCAGGAAGAACACCAAUAGCGAAGGCAGCUCUCUGGGACGGUACUGACGCUGAGACGCGAAAGCGUGGGGAGCGAACAGG
rnacentral:rRNA from 1 species